UACGUAGGGGGCUAGCGUUGUCCGGAAUCAUUGGGCGUAAAGAGCGUGUGGGCGGUCCGGUAAGUCCGCUGUGAAAGUCGGGGGCUCAACCCUCGAAUGCCGGUGGAUACUGUCGGGCUAGAGUGCGGAAGAGGCGAGUGGAAUUCCACGUGUAGCGGUGAAAUGCGUAGAGAUGUGGAGGAACACCAGUGGCGAAGGCGACUCUUUGGCCUGUAACUGACGCUGAGGCGCGAAAGCGUGGGGAGCAAACAGG
rnacentral:rRNA from 1 species